rnacentral:ncRNA from 1 species
AGGGGAGGAAGUCCGGUGCGAUUCCGGCACGGUCCCGCCACUGUGAGCCCGGCCACGGCCUGGCAAGUCAGGAACUCCCUU